UCACGACGUAAUCUCGACCUGCUACUUCUCUCAAAGCCCUCGCCACCUCCUGCCGUCGCCGCCUCCAUCCCUUCCGCCGCCUCUGCCUCUGCCUCCAUCCCUGCUGCGCCGCUGCCUCUCUUGUUUUGGGUCGCUUCCUGCACGGUUGUUGCCCUGUUCUCAUUAUCAUCCUUUCGAGACUGUAGCUUUGAAGAGCGUUGCUUCCACCGUGUAAAUCAUGAUGUGGAGACUCCAGGUGAACAAUGUAUGGUUAGAGGGAACACCCAUCAGUUCCCCUUUCAGCGCUCUGGAAGAGCGAAUUGGCGAAUGAGAAAACUAAGAACCGGAGAUGGUAGAGGCUAGGGAGAACAAGAAAGGAGAGGAUCUCAUGCUACUAAAAAUCGAAUGCCAAAGGGUGGUGGGAGAUGGAGUGUGUACAUACUCUGUUUUUUUAAGGAUCAGGAGGUAUUCGCCGACUGAAAUUGAAGGCAUACACAAGAAUAUAUACGAGAUGGCAUUGACUGGGCUAAAGUUGAAUUAUACCUGUACCCUUCCUUGGAUGCUGUCAUUUCGGUUCAAACUGAUUUACGGAAGGCACACUUCCAUUAGCAAUGGAUUCACUCUUCUCCUUAUCUCUCUAUGUGGAUAAUGAUGUCUUAUGCUUGAUUGUGUUGUGUUUAUUAGGGUUUCAUUUCGAUUACAUUUCAAAUUUGUUGUUUUGUAUUUGAUUUAGGUUUGAAAUUGAUAUCGUUAACUUAUAAUUUUUAUUUCAGAUCUUUCUCUCUUUGAAUGCUGCAAUUGAAGAUUUGGAUUUGUGGGAGAUGGUGAUUCCGGUGUUGUGUUGCAGGUUUUGGAUGCAUGUGUCGAUCAUAAGAUGCGUUCAGUCUCUCAUACAAUACUUUCUUGAUUCUUCACUCUACUCCACCCUCACAACAUCGAUUCUCAGAAUUGAAGGGAAUAUGAAGAACACCUCUGUCCAAGCAUAGUUGCCUAUGCUACAGUCCCCGGAAAAGAAGCAGGUACCACCAGUAUAAAUAAUAAUGCUAGGAAAUCAUCUUGCUCCUGUUCAGGUUUCUAUUUGUCUAUUCGCUUUGUGUAUUAUUCCUAAUCUAAAGAAAUUAAAGCUAGGAAAUUCCAGAUAAAUUUUGUUAUAGAUGCAUGUGUCUCUUAG